rnacentral:tRNA from 1 species
GGGGCCGUGGGCAAACCUGGUACGCUGCAGCCUUCGGGAGGCUGUGAUCUGAGUUCAAAUCUCAGCGGCCCCA